CUUUCAAAAAUGCAACACUUUAAAUUUUUUUUUGUUUUUUCUUUGUUCAAUAAAGUUUUGUUAAAAAAAAAAAAAAAGAAAAAGCAUGACCACCUGAAAGCUAUUUAAGCGCCGAUUAAUUGCUCAAAGGUCUUUUGGCCUUCAAGCUGCCGGCAUCGCGACGUCCGUCUCGCUGCUGCCCCACGGACGCGUCCACGAGAUGCACGUCGUCAAAUGGACUCAAAUGGCUCCCAUCUUAAGAAUCUUCACCCUACCAACAAGAUGAAUCACUUCUUCAAAUCAACACAAAACUGGCCAAAUGGACUGGAAAAUGGCCGUCUCGGUGCACUCUCAGACAUUUUCUACCAAACGUUCCGAAAAACUAAGAUUCAAACCCAGUGUUCCCGUCUUUGAGCCCACCUUGUUGCAGGUCUUCAAGGGAGUCCAGCGUGGUGUUGCUCUCCUCCCUGGUGCCGCUGUGAUUGGGUCCAACGAGGAGCACGGCGACUCGACUGGACCGACUUUGUCGAGAACCGUCCUCGUUCCGGGGGGGUGGGGGGCUCCGACCUGCUCUUAGAGUCGAGCGGCCCUCCCUGAAGGUGUCAGCCUUCACAAUAAAAUCCCAUCAGGGUGUCCAGCAAGGUCUGUCAUCAGUCCAGAUGCUGGUUGGAUGCGGCUCUGACUUUGCUCGGCUUCUUUUGUCGGUGGGUUCCAUCUCAGACAAAACUUGUGAUCCAAACAAUUUUGACUCUUCUUUUUGUUUUCCAGACUGGUCCACUCCACAGCAACAAAAUGGGAGUUUGUCAUCUUUGCUACCUUUCCCCCCCCUCAAUGUCGUGUCUCCUAAUUGUCAUCUUUCCAAAAACUCAACGGUACUCGCAAAACUCUUUUCCUGAUGUGCUUUGCUAACUUUGUGGCCUCUUCCUCAGGUGGAGGACCAGAUGCAGACAGAAGGUGCUGAAGCCAAACUUUGGAGGAGCCCUGGAAGACAGCGAUCGUAACACACUGGUGACGGAGGUUCCACGGCCAUGAGGGGGAAAGGCAGUGCGAAUGUGGCGGAGAACCACAUGCACAACGGUCUGAAAGCAGAAGCGCGAGGGCAGUUGGAUGACAUCUGCACUGGGUUCCUACACAGUUUCGACCCUACGCGCAUUCCAGUUGUGCCCACUUGAUUAAACGUGUUCUACUUUUGAAGGGGCUGAAGAACGUGGUCUGCUUCCAGUGAACGAGCCAGACCAAACGGCAACUCGUUUCCUCUCAGACAUAAUCUGCUACCGCCCAAAAAAAAAAACUCGCUUGUCUGUUUUCCAGGGCAGUCGCGACAGCCUGGUCCAUGCCGACAUUGAAGGUCCAAUCCACAACACCGACCUGGUUGUCGAUGGCAUUCCUGGCUUUUUUUUUUUUUUUUUUUUUAAACUUUCAAAGGGGUAAAAUGUCACCUGUAAGACAAAUGGUUAUUAAAGGUUUUGCUCAAAACUGUUCUUGAUCAAGCUCUCUGCUUACACUUCCUGAGGUGGAGAAGUGAAGGAGCGGGAGAGCAGUUUGACGGCAUUUGGACUGCGUCUGUCCACUUGGACAAAAUGCACUUUGAAAUUGUGACUAUUUUUCCAUCAAGCAUGUUUUUCUUUUUGAAGGUGCUGAAGAACUCUGUCCGCUCCCCGUGAAUGCCGCGGCACAAACGUGCGAGAGACUUCCUGUCACGGUCGUUGUCCUGGUCCUGGGGCUCUCCGUGUAACCUGUAAGAACAAAAUGGUCAUCUACUUCCAGUGUUGGUGAUCUUACAUAAAAUGUUUGCUUCUUUUCCUCCUCAGGUGCAAAACUGCCUCCAAAAGGGUCUGAAGGCGAACUUCAGGGCAGCCUGGCAAGAAAUGGGAGGGCAGGCAGUUGGAUGACAUCUGCACUGGGUUCCUACACACUUAAGACCGUACGCGCAUUCCAGUUGUGCCCAUUUGAUUAAACGUGUUCUUCUUUCCAAGGUGCUGAAGAACCCGGUCGGCUUCCGGCAGUGUGAACGGGUCGUUCCAGACAAACAGGGCCUGGUGUCUUCUUCAUUGGUGGUCUGUUUCAUCUCAAACAUAAUUUGCUACUCGCAAAAAAUAAUAAUAAUCCUCAUGGAUGUCUGUUUUCCAGGGUGGUCACCACAGCCUGGUCCGUGCUGACUUUGAAGGGUCACUCUUCUGGGGAGGAGAACAGUUUGACAUUUUUUGGACUGGGUCCAUGCGCGAUAUGCACGUUCCACUUGUGCCCGUUUUGAUUUUAAACUCGUUUUUCUUUUGAAGGUGCUGAAGAACUCUGUGAACACACAAUCCCAGACAAACGGCGUCUCGCGUCUUCAUUGGUGGUCUGUUUCAGCUCAAACAUAAUUUGCUACCCCCCCCCCAAAAAAAUGUACUUACUGUUUUCCAGGGAGGUCACUACAGCCUGGUCCACGCUGACUUUGAAGGUCCAGUCCCCAACGCAGACCUGGCUGUCUGUAUCGUCCCGGCGUUUUUUUUUUUUUAAGUC